ensembl:lncRNA
AUGCCCUCAGAGAUACUUUUAUCCCUCUAGUGACAACAUGCUCAAUACGCUCCUUCCCUCUCUUUCCCAGAUGCCAGUUCUAUCUCAAGAUAGAUCUGACUGUUCAAAUUCCUGUUUACACACUGAUAGGAUGUCCACAAUCUGCUUCAAAAUAACCCUUGGAUAGGAAGUGGGUAGAGAUUGGAGUGGAACAAGAUUGGCCACAAGUUGAUAAUUAUUGAAGGUCACUGAUACCCUUGAUGCACAGGAUGGGAUGGAGACACAGGACCCUAAUUCCUUCCUGAGUGACAUCACUGAGGGCACUUCAAGUUCCAUUAUUCAGCUACAAAAUACUACAAAUACAAAUACAUGGAAACUUCUCCAGUUCUCCAACUUGUUCACAAGGACAGUGUGAGUUUCCUUGUCAGAGCUUUGCUGAACUCCAGAGACCAACAUAGUCAGAAAACGGAGUGAGGCCCAGGUGACCCUGGCACGGCUUCCUCACUUCCCAGCUUCAUUUGGAAGUUUCCUGACAAGCAGCAACUUGAUGGUUCACCUGAGAAUUUCGUCAAAGUUCCAGACUAAGGUAAGUGGCUCGAUAUCACCAAAGUCUACCUUUCCCCCAUUUAGGAAAAUUGAUGCUAUAUUUGCAAAUCUUUCAGUCUCCAGGAUUUAGUUCUUAGAGUCAUAUCUGCAAUUGUCUUCAGGAAUCUGGACUUGAAGAUGAAGUCAUUUAAAAAACAGUCCAUUCAGCGUCACUGGGCUGGGCACUGCAGUGAGUCAGAGCAUUGCUUCCUCCACUCAGUGAGCUGCCCGUCCAGUGGGAGAGGUGAGACACACCAACAAUCCUAAUAAAAGGUAGAAGAUGACGAGUGCCAGAAAAGAGGCACAGAUACCAUGCUGAGAGCUUUGGAGGAAAAGAAGCUGGACAGCUGAGAGGCAAUCAGGGAUAGUUUUGUGGAAGAGGUCAUUUUGGAGCAGGGCCAUGAAGCGUGGACAGGAUUUGAACCUGUGGUGAUGAGGUGAGGGAGUUUCUAGGCAGGUGGAAGAGCCUAAGUAAAGGUGGGGACCUUGCUUGAGGUAGGUAGUGUGAAUGGUGAGUGACAAUCAUAAUUACUGCCAUUUAUGAAGCACUUCUCAUGCACCAGGAUUGUAAUAAGCAUUUUACAUAUACUACCAUGGAAUCACAAUACCCACUGUGAGACAGGCAGGAGGUAUGCUCAUCUUCAUUUUACAGGUGAGCUAACAGAGGCUCAGCAAGAGUAAGUGACUUGCUGAGAGUCACACAACUAGCCUGUGGCCAAGCCAGGACUUUGAGCCAGAGCUGUCUGAUUCCAAAACCUUUAUUCUUACCUAAUGAGUCACACAGGUCUCUAUCUCUUGGCCUCUUUUGCGCUUUGGUGCACCGUUGCCACCGUUUGUUCUUCCCUCCUGGUCACAGCUGCUUCUGGGUGCCAGGUUGUGGCCUUCUUCCCUGUCAUCCCAGAGCACCAGGCCUGGCCAUUCCUUUGGAUCUUGUGGUCUCCAAGACUAGGUCUCUGGAUGGCUCUGAAGGGGCUGCACAGCUAGCCCUCCCAGGUGGGAGCCUAACUGAGCAGACAGAAGUUACUUAUCCUGCCUGCUGGAAUGAGGGCAACUGCACCCCUCCCCAUUGCCAGUGCGCCUGGGCCUAUCUGCUGGUUUCACUGCCUUCUGACUUUCCCUCUCCAUGACUCCAUUUUCCUAUGGUUUUGUUAUCUGCCCCAGUUUGUAGCUUUGGUGUAUGACCUUUCCAUUUUGAGUUCCACUGGAAAAUCCUCUUGGUAGUUCUUUUACUUCUGAUACCUUUCUUUUGUCUGGACUCCAGGCAGUUUGGUGCUCCCAUCCUUCCUGUGCCUUUAAGCCAUCAUCCUUUGGAGCAUGUUGGAGUGUGAGACCAUAGUUCUCCAGUCCUCCACCCUCAGCCUUUUCCCUGGCUUCUCUGAACUCUGCAUUCACGGUGCCCAGGGGCCAUGGUGGGACUGAGCCCUUCCUCAUUAGGGGAGCCAGUCCUGCUCACCUCCUCCUAGGGUGACCAGG